rnacentral:rRNA from 1 species
UACAGAGGUCUCAAGCGUUGUUCGGAUUCAUUGGGCGUAAAGGGUGCGUAGGCGGCGCGGUAAGUCGGGUGUGAAAUCUCGGAGCUUAACUCGAAACUGCAUUCGAUACUGGCCGUGCUUGAGGACUGGAGAGGAGACUGGAAUUCAUGGUGUAGCAGUGAAAUGCGUAGAGAUCAUGAGGAAGACCAGUGGCGAAGGCGGGUCUCUGGACAGUUCCUGACACUGAGGCACGAAGGCCAGGGGAGCAAACGGG